GACGAACGCUGGCGGCGUGCUUAACACAUGCAAGUCGAGCGGUAAGGCCCUUUCGGGGGUACACGAGCGGCGAACGGGUGAGUAACACGUGGGUGACCUGCCCUCAGCUCUGGGAUAAGCCUGGGAAACCGGGUCUAAUACCGGAUAUGACUUCAUGACGCAUGUUGUGGGGUGGAAAGCCUUGUGCGGCUGAGGAUGGGCCCGCGGCCUAUCAGCUUGUUGGUGGGGUGAUGGCCUACCAAGGCGACGACGGGUAGCCGGCCUGAGAGGGCGACCGGCCACACUGGGACUGAGACACGGCCCAGACUCCUACGGGAGGCAGCAGUGGGGAAUCUUGCGCAAUGGGCGAAAGCCUGACGCAGCGACGCCGCGUGAGGGAUGACGGCCU
rnacentral:rRNA from 1 species